rnacentral:misc_RNA from 1 species
UUUCCGUAGGUGAACCUGCGGAAGGAUCAUUACCGAGUGAGGGUCUCUCAGGCCCGACCUCCCACCCUGUGGUGUAGUGACCUUGUUGGGGUGGCGGGACCGCCUCGAUGAGAGGCCGGCGGAAGAUCACCGCUUUGGGACCGUGCCAGUCAGGAGCCCCCUGAAACUCUUAAUAAACAUGACGGCAGAGGUAAGGGAUAGAAAGAAAAAAAACUUUCAACAACGGACUUCUUGGUGCUGGCAUCGAUGAAGAACGAAGCAGAUAGGAAGAGCACACGG